rnacentral:rRNA from 1 species
UAUUGGACAAUGGGCGAAAGCCUGAUCCAGCAAUGCCGCGUGAGUGAUGAAGGCCUUAGGGUUGUAAAGCUCUUUUACCCGGGAAGAUAAUGACUGUACUGGGAGAAUAAGCCCCGGCUAACUCCGUGCCAGCAGCCGCGGUAAUACGGAGGGGGCUAGCGUUGUUCGGAAUUACUGGGCGUAAAGCGCACGUAGGCGGCUUUGUAAGUUAGAGGUGAAAGCCUGGAGCUCAACUCCAGAAUUGCCUUUAAGACUGCAUCGCUUGAACGUCGGAGAGGUGAGUGGAAUUCCGAGUGUAGAGGUGAAAUUCGUAGAUAUUCGGAAGAACACCAGUGGCGAAGGCGGCUCACUGGACGACUGUUGACGCUGAGGUGCGAAAGCGUGGGGAGCAAACAG